rnacentral:rRNA from 1 species
GAUGAACGCUGGCGGCGUGCCUAAUACAUGCAAGUCGAGCGAACAGGCGAUGAGCUUGCUCCUCUGACGUUAGCGGCGGACGGGUGAGUAACACGUGGAUAACCUACCUAUAAGACUGGGAUAACUUCGGGAAACCGGAGCUAAUACCGGAUAAUAUAUUGAACCGCAUGGUUCAAUAGUGAAAGACGGUUUUGCUGUCACUUCUAGAUGGAUCCGCGCCGCAUUAGCUAGUUGGUAAGGUAACGGCUUACCAAGGCGACGAUGCGUAGCCGACCUGAGAGGGGGAUCGGCCACACUGGAACUGAGACACGGUCCAGACGCCUACGGGAGGCAGCAGUAGGGAACCUUCCGCAAUGGGCGAAAGCAUGACGGAGCAACGCCGAGUGAGUGAUGAAGGUCUUCGGAUCGUAAAACUCUGUUAUUAGGGAAGAACAAAUGUGUAAGUAACUAUGCACGUCUUGACGGUACUUAAUCAGAAAGCCACGGCUAACUACGUG